rnacentral:rRNA from 1 species
UGGAAUGAUGGUGACCCAAACCCUCACCAGAGUAGCAAUUGGAGGGCAAGUCUGGUGCCAGCAGCCGCGGUAAUUCCAGCUCCAAUAGCGUAUAUUAAACUUGUUGCAGUUAAAAAGCUCGUAGUUGUAUUUUUGCGUUGACGGUUUGACCAUUUGGUUGGUUAUUUCGUUUUCGCUUUUGGGAAUUUCCCUUUUUACUUUGAGAAAAUUAGAGUGUUUCAAGCAGACUUUUGUCUUGAAUACUUCAGCAUGGAAUAAUAGAGUAGGACUUUGGUUCUAUUUUGUUGGUUAUUGAACCUUAGUAAUGGUUAAUAGGAACGGUUGGGGGCAUUCGUAUUUAACUGUCAGAGGUGAAAUUCUUAGAUUUGUUAAAGACGAACUACUGCGAAAGCAUUUGCCAAGGACGUUUCCAUUAAUCAAGAACGAAAGUUAGGGGAUCGAAGACGAUCAGAUACCGUCGUAGUCCUAACCAUAAACUAUGCCGACUAGUGAUUG